AAAACAACUUUGUUUAUACGAGAUGCAGUUUCGUAAGGAUUGAUAUAGUCAAACUCUAGAUCAGUUAAGGAGAUGAGCUGGAAAAUAACCAUAACAAGUAUAGCUACGACUAUGAAGAAGAAGAGUAGCCAUAUCAGCAUAUCUCCCAUUGUAGCCUACUGGCGCACGAUAAGAUUGAAGAUCCUUGAUCGUUGAUCGGUACGCCGGCUGCGUAUUGCGCCACCAGUUUGUUUAUCGGAGGUGAAAUUCUGGACCGGUGCCGGAGUCAAUAGUUCCGGG
rnacentral:misc_RNA from 1 species